UACAGAGGGUGCAAGCGUUGCUCGGAAUUAUUGGGCGUAAAGGGCAGGUAGGUGGUCUCAUUUGUCUGGGGUGAAAGCCUUGAGCUUAACUCAAGAAGUGCCCCAGAAACGGUGAGACUAGAGUCCUAGAGAGGGUCGUGGAAUACCCGGUGUAGCGGUGAAAUGCGUAGAGAUCGGGUGGAACACCAGAGGCGAAGGCGGCGACCUGGAUAGGUACUGACACUCAACUGCGAAAGCGUGGGGAGCAAACAGG
rnacentral:rRNA from 1 species